GACGAACGCUGGCGGCGUGCCUAAUACAUGCAAGUUGAGCGAUGAAGAUUGGUGCUUGCACCAAUUUGAAGAGCAGCGAACGGGUGAGUAACGCGUGGGGAAUCUGCCUUUGAGCGGGGGACAACAUUUGGAAACGAAUGCUAAUACCGCAUAAUAACUUUAAACAUAAGUUUUAAGUUUGAAAGAUGCAAUUGCAUCACUCAAAGAUGAUCCCGCGUUGUAUUAGCUAGUUGGUGAGGUAAAGGCUCACCAAGGCGAUGAUACAUAGCCGACCUGAGAGGGUGAUCGGCCACAUUGGGACUGAGACACGGCCCAAACUCCUACGGGAGGCAGCAGUAGGGAAUCUUCGGCAAUGGACGAAAGUCUGACCGAGCAACGCCGCGUGAGUGAAGAAGGGUUUCGGAUCGUAAAACUCUGUUGGUAGAGAAGAACGUUGGUGAGAGUGGAAAGCUCAUCAAGUGACGGUAACUACCCAGAAAGGGACGGCUAACUACGUG
rnacentral:rRNA from 1 species